CCUACGGGAGGCAGCAGUAGGGAAUAUUGCUCAAUGGGGGAAACCCUGAAGCAGCAACGCCGCGUGGAGGAUGAAGGUUUUCGGAUUGUAAACCCCUUUUGUUAGAGAAGAUAAUGACGGUAUCUAACGAAUAAGCACCGGCUAACUCCGUGCCAGCAGCCGCGGUAAUACGGAGGGUGCAAGCGUUACUCGGAAUCACUGGGCGUAAAGGGCGCGUAGGCGGGAUAGCAAGUCAGAUGUGAAAUCCUAUGGCUUAACCAUAGAACUGCAUUUGAAACUGUUAGUCUAGAGUAUGGGAGAGGUAGGUGGAAUUCUUGGUGUAGGGGUAAAAUCCGUAGAGAUCAAGAGGAAUACUCAUUGCGAAGGCGACCUGCUAGAACAUAACUGACGCUGAUGCGCGAAAGCGUGGGGAGCAAACAGGAUUAGAUACCCCUGUAGUC
rnacentral:rRNA from 1 species